UUUGAAGUUGACAGAAUUGCCAAGUACGUUUACAGUGACCUCCCCCGGGAGCCAGUUGCUCACCCUGUAUCUCCUACAGGCUCAGUCAGAUCAUCCUUAUCAAUCGAAGGAAAGUCUAAAGCUGAGCUUCAGGAAAUUGCACGCCAGCUGAUCAUCCAGGCUUCUCAGAUGGAUGAUGAUGAGGACAAUGAUUCUCCUCCAUCGUCUAGUUGCCA
rnacentral:lncRNA from 1 species